rnacentral:rRNA from 1 species
AAUAGAUACCCUGGUAGUCCACGCUGUAAACGGUGGGUACUAGGUGUGGGGUCCAUUCCACGGGUUCCGUGCCGUAGCUAACGCUUUAAGUACCCCGCCUGGGGAGUACGGCCGCAAGGCUAAAACUCAAAGGAAUUGACGGGGCCCCGCACAAGCGGCGAAGCAUGCGGAUUAAUUCGAUGCAACGCGUAGAACCUUACCUGGGUUUGACAUGGAUCGGGAGCGCUCAGAGAUGGGUGUGCCUCUUUUGGGGUCGGUUCACAGGUGGUGCAUGGCUGUCGUCAGCUCGUGUCGUGAGAUGUUGGGUUAAGUCCCGCAACGAGCGCAACCCUUGUUCACUGUUGCCAGCACGUUAUGGUGGGGACUCAGUGGAGACCGCCGGGGUCAACCCGGAGGAAGGUGGGGAUGACGGUCAAGUCAGUCAUGCCCCUUAUGUCCAGGGCUUCACGCAUGCUACAAUGGCUGGUACAGAGAGUGGCGAGCCUGUGAGGGUGAGCGAAUCUCGGAAAGCCGGUCUCAGUUCGGAUUGGGGUCUGC